rnacentral:rRNA from 1 species
CCUACGGGACGCUGCAGUAGGGAAUCUUUCACAAUGGGCGAAAGCCUGAUGGAGCAACGCCGCGUGCAGGAUGAAGGCCUUCGGGUUGUAAACUGCUUUUAUAAGCGAGAAAUAUGAUGGUAACUUAUGAAUAAGGAUCGGCUAACUACGUGCCAGCAGCCGCGGUCAUACGUAGGAUCCGAGCAUUAUCCGGGGUGACUGGGUGUAAAGAGUUGCGUAGGUGGCAUAAUAAGUAGCUAGUGAAAUCUGGUGGCUCAACCAUUCAGACUAUUAGGUAAACUGUUAAGCUCGAGACCGUUAGGGGUAACUGGAAUUUCUAGUGUAGGAGUGAAAUCCGUAGAUAUUAGAAGGAACACCAAUAGCGUAGGCAGGUUGCUGGGACGGUUCUGACACUAAGGCACGAAAGCGUAGGGAGCAAACGGGAUUAGAUACCCUUGUAGUC